rnacentral:rRNA from 1 species
AGGGCACCACCAGGGGUGGAGCCUGCGGCUUAAUUUGACUCACCACGGCAAAACUCACCCGGCCCGGACACCGUAAGGAUUGACAGACUGAGAGCUCUUUCGUGGGUCGGUGGGUGGUGGUGCAUGGCCGUUCUUAGUUGGUGGAGCGAUUUGGCUGGAUAAUUCCGAUAACGAACGAGACUCUGGCCUAUUAAAUAGACAGUAUAUCUAGCAAAAGAGUGCCGCGCUUCUUAGAGCGAGCACCGGCGACUAGCCGGGUGGAGUGGGGCAAUAGCAGUGCUGUGAUGCCCGUAGGCGUGCGGUGCUGCAAACGCGCUACGCUGAAAGAAUCGGGAUGCGACGCCACCUCGUUCGGACGAACCAGCGCGAGAGGAGUACUUUCUUGCAUGCUUUAAUAAACUUUUUGGGCCCACACGCACGACACAUAUGUAGAUCUCUCUCUACUAUAUAUUUUGUUGGCGAAAAAAACCGCGAGAAAAUCAUGCGCCCCCCGUGAGUUCUCUCUAUAUAUCAUCACCG